rnacentral:rRNA from 1 species
UGGGGGCACCCUGAUCAGCCAUGCCGCGUGUGUGAAGAAGGCCCUCGGGUUGUAAAGCACUUUCAGCGAGGAAGAACGCCUGGCGGUUAAUACCCGCUAGGAAAGACAUCACUCGCAGAAGAAGCACCGGCUAACUCCGUGCCAGCAGCCGCGGUAAUACGGAGGGUGCAAGCGUUAAUCGGAAUUACUGGGCGUAAAGCGCGCGUAGGUGGCUUGAUAAGCCGGUUGUGAAAGCCCCGGGCUCAACCUGGGAACGGCAUCCGGAACUGUCAAGCUAGAGUGCAGGAGAGGAAGGUAGAAUUCCCGGUGUAGCGGUGAAAUGCGUAGAGAUCGGGAGGAAUACCAGUGGCGAAGGCGGCCUUCUGGACUGACACUGACACUGAGGUGCGAAAGCGUGGGUAGCAAACAGGAUUAGAUACCCUGGUAGUCCACGCCGUAAACGAUGUCGACCAGCCGUUGGGUGCCUAGCGCACUUUGUGGCGAAGUUAACGCGAUAAGUCGACCGCCUGGGGAGUACGGCCGCAAGGUUAAAACUCAAAUGAAUUGACGGGGGCCCGCACAAGCGGUGGAGCAUGUGGUUUAAUUCGAUGCAACGCGAAGAACCUUACCUACUCUUGACAUCCUGCGAAUUUGGUAGAGAUACCUUAGUGCCUUCGGGAACGCAGAGACAGGUGCUGCAUGGCUGUCGUCAGCUCGUGUUGUGAAAUGUUGGGUUAAGUCCCGUAACGAGCGCAACCCUUGUCCUUAUUUGCCAGCGCGUAAUGGCGGGAACUCUAAGGAGACUGCCGGUGACAAACCGGAGGAAGGU